rnacentral:rRNA from 1 species
UAUUGGUCAAUGGACGCGAGUCUGAACCAGCCAAGUAGCGUGAAGGAUGACUGCCCUAUGGGUUGUAAACUUCUUUUAUAUGGGAAUACAGUUUUGCACGUGUGGAAUUUUGUAUGUACCAUAUGAAUAAGGAUCGGAUAACUCCGUGACAGCAGCCGCGGUAAUACGGAGGAUCCGAGCGUUAGCCGGAUUUAUUGGGUUUAAAGGGAGCGUAAGGGGACAGUUAAGUCAGUUGUGAAAGUUUGCGGCUCAACCGUAAAAUUGCAGUUGAAACUGGCAGUCUUGAGUACAGUAGAGGUGGGCGGAAUUCGUGGUGUAGCGGUGAAAUGCUUAGAUAUCACGAAGAACUCCGAUUGCGAAGGCAGCUCACUGGACUGUUGACUGACACUGAGGCUCGAAAGUGUGGGUAUCAAACAG